rnacentral:lncRNA from 1 species
AUUAUAAGUAAAAAAAGGAAAAAAAUGGAAUGUAGUAAUCUUUCAUGUGGAGGAUUCUUUUCCGCCCCUUUCUUUUUUAAAACCACCAUGUGUGCAGAGUAUUUAUUAAUAAUGAUAAAAGGAAGGAAAUCAAAAGCUUUAGAAACGGACAUAAUGCCUAACUCCAGCUAUUGGAAACAAAAAUAAAUCUAAACCACUAAAAACACUGCAAAAUAAAUUUUUUUUUUCCGCUUUUCUUUUCCCUCUUUGAUCACAUUCGUACUUAUAUUAGAGACACUAUUCAUUACAUAUUUCAUAUUUUCACAACCUAAUUUUCAAUGAAUGCCAAUUCAUAACCCAUGUUAAUGAACUUUUUAAAUUCCCUUAUCCAGUAAGCUUUUCCUAUCCUAACCAACACCACAUAUCAUUUUAGAAAUUCAUGUUUCUCUUGAGCUCAAAACAUCUUUUCUUUCUUUUUCUUUUUUUUUGAGGUCAAGUCUUGUGACUUGAAGGGACUAGCUGCACUAGCAAAAAAUAAAGCAUCAUAUGACACUGAAUAUAAAGAUUCAAUUCUUCAUCCUUUUAAAAAGAGUAAACUUCUCGCUGUUUUGGUUAUAUAGAUAAAUAAAAAACAUUAUUUAUGAUUAUAUUCGUCAUCACAUGAAAUUCUUAAAUGCUG